rnacentral:rRNA from 1 species
AGUAACGCGUGAGGAACCUGCCUUCCAGAGGGGGACAACAGUUGGAAACGACUGCUAAUACCGCAUGACACAUGACCGUGGCAUCACGGACAUGUCAAAGAUUUAUCGCUGGAAGAUGGCCUCGCGUCUGACUAGCUGGUAGGCGGGGUAACGGCCCACCUAGGCGACGAUCAGUAGCCGGACUGAGAGGUUGACCGGCCACAUUGGGACUGAGAUACGGCCCAGACUCCUACGGAAGGCAGCAG